AGAGAGCAGAUAGAACUAGAUGUCUCUUUAAGAGAACGUGUAAAUCUGAAAGGCUUACCACACUACUCUAGAGAGGAAUAAAUAUUAUGCAUUUAGGUACGCGUCCGCGUUAUUUUGUUAUUAAUUCUUUGUGGUACAAUAUGAAUAUUUUUGAAUUUAUUGGUGAUGAUUUUCACUAAAAAUUUUCUUAUCCCAAUAAAUAAUAUUAGUCUCUUCAUGUUAAAUUAUUGAGAAUCAAAUUUAUUUUAAUUAAUGUUUACAUCUCUAGUGUACUUAAAUUUAAUAAUAUCAUAAUUAUUAAAAUUAUUACAUUUGAGAACAAAACUGUGGUUAUUUGUCGGAAUUUAGAAUAUUUUGGAAAUUCAUAUUUCAGUCAAAAAAAAAUUCCUAAUUUGAAGUUUUGUGGCCGGCGGCAAUAGCAGCCGCCGGCGAGACACAGCUGCUGGGCGGCGCCAGCCCGCAACCGCGGCCACGACGCCACGGCAAAUUAAGGAGAAGCAAAAAAAAAAGGGGCUGGCCGUCGCCAGCUUACGGCUGUGUCGGCAUGCAUGCCGCUGCAACCAGCCCGCGCUGGAGAGAAAGAAAGGUGGCUGAAUGGCCACUGCAGAGGAAGAAGCGGCGGCACGCCAGCCGCACGAAAGAGAAAAGAUAGAAGUAGGGUUUCAAGGUAAAUAUCUAAAUGUUCCCUAAGGUGUUGUAAAAUUUCUUUCCAGCAGACAAUAAAGAAAGUUUUUAUUUAAACCCAAAUUCUGCUUGGACUUAAUUAAAGUUGAGUUUUGGGCCCAAUAAAUUGGGCUUGAUAGGUUGAAGGGGUUGGUUUAGAGUGGAGCUAUUGGCACCCCUACAUUAUUCUUACAAAACUCCACUUUAAAUAAAAUUACAAUUAAGAAUAAUUGAAAGUUAAACACAUAUAGUCUUUUUUUUCAAGCA
rnacentral:lncRNA from 1 species